rnacentral:lncRNA from 1 species
GCACACAGCAGCUCAACACGGGUGACGGAUACUGUUAUUGGAUCUGGGUUGCCUGGUCCUAGAGAGAUGGUGCAGUGUGGGAGGCCUGGCAUGAUUGAGGAGAAAUGUUCUAGAACCCCCCACCACAGGCUUGCCCUAAUUUCAUCUAUCCAAGAUUCAGCCCUUCCUGGUGCUCAAGGGACCAGUGUCCUCAGACACACCAAGGCCCUUCCCAACAUGGCCUCCUUGUACCCUUGGCCACAAAGUCUCCAAAUUCAAGUGUUUCAACUUAAGAAACUGCAAAGGCAGACCAUGAUUGGUGUCUUGGUGUCUUUUGGGAAAGUCUACAGAAAAUAAACUACAGGAGCGCAGAGGACUCAAGAUUGUGCCACUAUUUAUUUCCGCAGUAAAUAAUUCCUUUCCUGUGUGUGGAUUUUUUUUUUUUUUUAGCAGUUGCCCUGGGUUGAGCUGAAUAAACUAAUACAGCUUUUAAAAC